GACGAACGCUGGCGGCGUGCCUAAUACAUGCAAGUCGAGCGAAUCACUGGGAGCUUGCUCCCGGUGGUUAGCGGCGGACGGGUGAGUAACACGUGGGCAACCUGCCUGUAAGACUGGGGUAACACCGGGAAACCGGUGCUAAUACCGGAUAAUCCUUUUCCUCUCAUGAGGAAAAGCUGAAAGUCGGUUUCGGCUGACACUUACAGAUGGGCCCGCGGCGCAUUAGCUAGUUGGUGAGGUAACGGCUCACCAAGGCGACGAUGCGUAGCCGACCUGAGAGGGUGAUCGGCCACACUGGGACUGAGACACGGCCCAGACUCCUACGGGAGGCAGCAGUAGGGAAUCUUCCACAAUGGACGAAAGUCUGAUGGAGCAACGCCGCGUGAGCGAUGAAGGCCUUCGGGUCGUAAAGCUCUGUUGUUGGGAAGAACAAGUACCGGAGUAACUGCCGGUACCUUGACGGUACCUAACCAGAAAGCCACGGCUAACUACGUGCCAGCAGCCGCUGUAACAC
rnacentral:rRNA from 1 species